rnacentral:rRNA from 1 species
AGCAGCCGCGGUAAUUCCAGCUCCAAUAGCGUAUAUUAAAGUUGUUACAGUUAAAAAGCUCGUAGUUGAAUUUCGAGAUCAAUUUGUUGGUCGUGCCUCGGUACGUACUGGCAAUUUUGAUUUCUCCCUUCUGAAGAACCAUGAUGUCAUUAAUUUGGUGUCAUGGGGAAUCAGGACCGUUACUUUGAAAAAAUUAGAGUGUUUAAAGCAGGCUCGCGCUUGAAUACAUUAGCAUGGAAUAAUGAAAUAGGACGUUUGAUUCUAUUUUGUUGGUUUCUAGGAUCGACGUAAUGAUUAAUAGGGAUAGUUGGGGGCAUUAGUAUUCAAUUGUCAGAGGUGAAAUUCUUGGAUUUAUUGAAGACUAACUACUGCGAAAGCAUUUGCCAAGGAUGUUUUCAUUAAUCAAGAACGAAAGUUAGGGGAUCGAAGACGAUCAGAUACCGUCGUAGUCUUAACCAUAAACUAUGCCGACUAGGGAUCGGAUGAUGUUAAUUUUUAAUGACUCAUUCGGCGCCUUAAC